CCUACGGGAGGCAGCAGUAGGGAAUCUUCCACAAUGGGCGAAAGCCUGAUGGAGCAACGCCGCGUGGGUGAAGAAGGUCUUCGGAUCGUAAAACCCUGUUGUUAGAGAAGAAAGUGCGUGAGAGUAACUGUUCACGUUUCGACGGUAUCUAACCAGAAAGCCACGGCUAACUACGUGCCAGCAGCCGCGGUAAUACGUAGGUGGCAAGCGUUAUCCGGAUUUAUUGGGCGUAAAGGGAACGCAGGCGGUCUUUUAAGUCUGAUGUGAAAGCCUUCGGCUUACCCGGAGUAGUGCAUUGGAAACUGGGAGACGUGAGUGCAGAAGAGGAGAGUGGAACGCCAUGUGUAGCGGUGAAAUGCGUAGAUAUAUGGAAGAACACCAGUGGCGAAAGCGGCUCUCUGGUCUGUAACUGACGCUGAGGUUCGAAAGCGUGGGUAGCAAACAGGAUUAGAUACCCUUGUAGUC
rnacentral:rRNA from 1 species